AUGCCAUAUAUUGGGGCCGCCGAUGACACAAACCAAGAUUCAGGCCUGGUUGACACAGUCAUCGCUGGCGAGUCAUGCGGUGAUCGUAUUGGCAAGAGAAUCAUGCUUCCACGUACCUUUCUUGGUGGUGACCGUGACAUGCAGCGUAGGUUCCUGGAUGCAAUGGCAAUAGUUCAACGAUGGGGUAAACCGGAUUAUUUUAUCACGAUGACGUGCAAUCCCUACUAG
rnacentral:rRNA from 1 species